rnacentral:lncRNA from 1 species
UAGCAUCCUCUAGGGUAAUGUCUCUGUAUUUAUAUGCAGGGUUCAACCCUUUAUAUUAUGACAUUAUGUAGUAUACAAAUAGGACUUAAGUUAAUGCAGGUUGUUACAAAAUUGAUCUAUAACUCAGUCUACAAGAAAACCUGUCGUACAACCUAAUAUAGUAAACAUUGUCGUACAAGAAAGGAAUUGACAACAAAGUAAUUGGCCUAUAC